rnacentral:rRNA from 1 species
UCCCUACGGGACGCAGCAGUGGGGAAUAUUGCACAAUGGGGGAAACCCUGAUGCAGCGACGCCGCGUGAGUGAAGAAGUAUUUCGGUACGUAAAGCUCUAUCAGCAGGGAAGAAAGAAAGUCCUUUGGACUUUGGACGGUACCUGACCAAGAAGCCCCGGCUAACUACGUGCCAGCAGCCGCGGUAAUACGUAGGGGGCAAGCGUUAUCCGGAUUUACUGGGUGUAAAGGGAGCGUAGACGGCAGCGCAAGUCCGGAGUGAAAUGCCGGGGCCCAACCCCGGACCUGCUUUGGACACUGUGCAGC